rnacentral:rRNA from 1 species
CUCAGUUCGGACUGGAGUCUGCAACCCGACUCCACGAAGCUGGAUUCGCUAGUAAUCGCGCAUCAGCCACGGCGCGGUGAAUACGUUCCCGGGCCUUGUACACACCGCCCGUCACACCAUGGGAGUUGGGAGCGCCCGAAGCCGGUGAGGUAACCGAGAGGAGCCAGCCGUCGAAGGUGAGACCAAUGACUGGGGUGAAGUCGUAACAAGGUACC